rnacentral:rRNA from 1 species
ACAGCAGUCGCCACGGGAAAACGGAGGGUGCAAGCGUUAUCCGGAUUUAUUGGGUUUAAAGGGUCCGUAGGCGGACUUAUAAGUCAGUGGUGAAAGCCUGUCGCUUAACGAUAGAACUGCCAUUGAUACUGUAAGUCUUGAGUAUAUUUGAGGUAGCUGGAAUAAGUAGUGUAGCGGUGAAAUGCAUAGAUAUUACUUAGAACACCAAUUGCGAAGGCAGGUCACUAAGAUUUAACUGACGCUGAUGGACGAAAGCGUGGGGAGCGAACAGGAUUAGAUACCCCGGUAGUCCCUGUCUCUUAUAC